GACGAACGCUGGCGGCGUGCUUAACACAUGCAAGUCGAGCGGUAAGGCCCUUUCGGGGGUACGACGAGCGGCGAACGGGUGAGUAACACGUGGGUGACCUGCCCUCAGCUCUGGGAUAAGCCUGGGAAACCGGGUCUAAUACUGGAUAUGACUCCAUGACGCAUGUUGGUGGGGUGGAAAGCCUUGUGCGGCUGAGGAUGGGCCCGCGGCCUAUCAGCUUGUU
rnacentral:rRNA from 1 species